rnacentral:ncRNA from 1 species
CCAAAGUUUGAUUCUUGCUUUCAAUUUUAUUUUUACGAUGUCUUAUAUGUAAGGUUUGUUCUAAAAGGUCUUUUUGCAGUAAUUUGAAUUAAUAAUCAAGUAAUUUUGGAAUUAGUAAUUGUAUUUAGUAUUGACUUAUUUCGUGCCAGCAGUCGCGGUUAUACGAUUAAUGCAAUUAAAAUUUAUUGGUUUAUAGUUAACUGUUUAUUGGAUUUAAUUUUUUAAAUUUUAGGUGAAAUUUUAUUUAUUUAUUAGUUCGUAGAGUGAUCCUAUGAAAUUCCAGAUUUAAACUAGGAUUAGAUACCCUAUUAUUUGAAAUGUGAAAAUUAAGCCUGAGUAGUAUUUGUUAUAUUCUAAAAACUCAAAGAAUUUGGCGGUAUUUUAUCUGUUUAGAGGAACCUGUUCUAUAAUUGAUGGUACACGAUUAACUUUACUUGAUCUAUUUGCUUGUAUAUCUCCGUUAGCAGGAUGUCUUAUUAAAGAUAAAAUAUUCAAUAUAUUUAAUUAGAUUUUAUUUCAGGUCAAGAUACAGUUUAUGAUUAAGUAGAAAUGGGUUACAUUAAAAUUUAUUUUCGGUAUUUGCGUGAAAUACAAUAAUUUAAGUUGGAUUUAAUAGUAAUAAUAAUGAUUUUGUUUUUAUGAUAUAAGCUCUAAAAUGUGCACACAUCGCCCGUCACUCUCGUUAAGUUUAAUAAUUUAUGACUAUUAAGAUGAGAAAAGUCGUAACAAAGUAGAUUUACUGGAAAGUGAAUCUAGAAAGA